rnacentral:rRNA from 1 species
GACGAACCGUGCGAACGUUAUUCGGAAUCACUGGGCUUAAAGGGCGCGUAGGCGGGUCAUCAAGUCCGGGGUGAAAUCCCACGGCCCAACCGUGGAAGUGCCUUGGAUACUGGAGACCUCGAGGGGGAUAGGGGCGUGCGGAACUCAGGGUGGAGCGGUGAAAUGCGUAGAUAUCCUGAGGAACACCGGUGGCGAAAGCGGCGCGCUGGAUCCCUUCUGACGCUGAGGCGCGAAAGCCAGGGGAGCAAACGGG